rnacentral:misc_RNA from 1 species
GAUGAAGAACGCAGCGAAAUGCGAUAAGUAGUGUGAAUUGCAGAAUUCAGUGAAUCAUCGAAUCUUUGAACGCACAUUGCGCCCUUUGGUAUUCCUUAGGGCAUGCCUGUUCGAGCGUCAUUUAAACCUUCAAGCUCAGCUUGGUGUUGGGUGACUGUCCGCUUCACCGCGGACUCGCCUCAAAAUUAUUGGCGGCCGGUACAUUGGCUUCGAGCGCAGCAGAAACGCGAACUCGGGCCCGUCGUAUUGGCUCCCAGAAGCUAUCUUCACAAUUUUGACCUCGGAUCAGGUAGGGAUACCCGCUGAACUUAAGCAUAUCAAUAAGCGGAG